CGAAGCUGAAAGUUUCCCUCAGCUAACAAUGCUGAUUCAUUAAAAUAAAUAAACAGCCUCUCAAAUUUCACAGACAUUAUACGCCUUUGGAUGAUACUAACAAUGUUGAUGAUGACAGCUGUAAUGUAUUUUAUACUAACUAUGUGCCAAAUUUUCCAGAAAAGUGUCCCUUGCUGCACAGAAUGAACAUCCAAAUUCAGUCUAUUGCAAAAAUACAGCCCAGGGCAGACUGCAGGAAGUAUAAAAAUUCGUUGCAGUGUUCUGUUUUAUCUUUUAAGUGAAUAUGAUUUUUUGUACUCUGUUCCAUAUAGUAGUACUUGCUAACAUUUAUUGAGUACCUAAAACAGAUGCUAUUCUAAGCUUUUUACAUGUAUUAAUUAUUUAAUCUUCAUAGCAUGCCUAUGAAACUGGUGCUAUUAUUCCAUCCAUUCUGCAGGUGAGAAAACUGAGGCGCAAAGAGCUUAAGUAACUUACCUAAAGUUCAAGUAACUUACCUGAAAGAUAAAGUGCCAAACCAGCAAGUAUCAGAGCCAGAAUUUGGACCUAGACAGUCUGGCUCCAGAAGCUGUUUCCUUAACCACUGUGAUAUAUUUCCUCCAUAAUGUCCUUAUGCUCUCUUUGAAUUAAUAAAAUCAAUGAUAUCUUCAAAUUCACUGUGCAUUCAUAGUUUAGAACAUCAUUAUCCAUCCUGUGCCUUCUCUGGAGGUUGACAAGUGUAACCGUGGAAUCAAAGUUACAACUACUCUGAGUUGGAGAAGCACAAACAUGUACUAUUAUCUUCGGUCCUCACAAUAACAGAGCAAAGUCAGUAAUAUUGUCAUGUUUUAGAGCUUUACAAAAUGAGAGGUGACUCCUUUCACUGGGACAGGCUCUUCUUUGAGUUUUUAUAAAAACUGGUAAAAUCAAAAAGGAAAGGAGGUUGGGCAAAGUCUGAACAAGCAAUCAAAAUUUCCUUCCACUGUCCCCUUUGGUCUUUACUGAUGGCAAACCUACAACAGGCUGCUUCUCAGGCCUAAGCCAAACUUCCAACAUACACUCACACACACACACACAAACACACACACUCAGCUUAGAGAGGCUGGAGCUACGAGCAAGUCCAGUCACGUUCCAUGGGAGCCAGCACAACUUCUACAGCAGAUGGUAAUAAAUGCACAGCUAUGGAUACAUGGUCCAUGGAUACAUGGAGGAGCCAAGAGCCCCCAAUAAAUUCACUCUGUCCCAGAUUGUCUCUCCAGUCUCUAACAAUACCUUUCAGCAUUGAGAGACCACAAUAGACCUUCCAAGGUCAAAUUAGAAAAUUCACAGAAAACAUUUUUCCAAUAAGCAUUUAAGAGGCAGCAUGAAGUAGUGGGGAGUGUACCCCCUGUAAGGCCAGUCAGACCUGAUUUGAUUCCCAGCUCCUGUGCUCUCAAAUUCUGUGGCCAUGGGCAAAUUAUGCGGCUCCUGUCACCAAGCCUCCAUUUCCUUUGACUUGCAUAAUCGUCAAAGUAACAGAUACCGCACAAGGUUGUUAUAGAACUAAAUGAGAUAGCAUAUGUGAAGGUACUAGCCUUGUUCUUGGGAAAUCAUAAGAACUUAAUAAAUAACAAACAGAAUUAAUUUGAGUUGCAUGAUAGUAUGUAUAUUAUACACAUACACAUUCACAUACACUUGUAUAUGCAUGGACUAUUUCAGGAAACUAGUCUCCUGAGAAGAAGGACUAGAUAAGUUUCUAGGGUCAGACGGAAAUGUCGUUUUCACUCUAUACCUUUCUAUACUGGUUGAAUGUUUCCAAUAUGGAUAUAUCCCCUUCUCAAAAAUAUUUGUAAUGUCUGUUGUUGUUGUUUGCUUCCCAGGAGGCUUUUGGAAGACCAGACUUUGUUAUCUGCAGCCUGGUUUCUUCACCCUCUUUUGCCCAUCACAUUCAUUGAAGGCCCGACUGUAGGAUCAGACUCCACCUACCUUGAAUGUAUAACCAUCAGCGCACAAAAUAAUAGAUGAGGCAUUUGAAGCCCAGAGAUCACACAGCUAAAAAGCGAGGAAUAAGGCACCACUCAGCUUCCAGGAAGUUUGGGUAUACCGGACAGCAAAUGAAUAUCCAGCAGGGAACUGUUAGAGGCCACUGGCAACAGCCGCUGCCCCCUUGACUGGCUUAAUGAAGACUUGGCAUGCAGCAGAAGAGCCAGCAAACAGGACUGACGAGAUGUGCCUGUGCUUGAGCCAUCACCAACAACACCCAGCCAUGCCCUCCCCAUGCUGGUUUUGAUGACAUAAGGCCCACUGAACUUUGAAUGACUAGCUCACCUGGAAAGGCUCUGGCUGCCUCUGAGUGUCAUUGUCACCCUAUUGCCCAUUUCCUGACUCUGUUCCCUUCUCUAGCCCUGCAAGGCACUCAGGCUUCUAGAGGAUCUAGUGAGAUCACCUCGUGAUAUGGUAGGAUUUGUGUCCCCACCCAAAUCUCAUCUUGAAAUGUAAUCCCCAUAGUCCCCAUGGGUCAAGGGAGAGACCAGGUGGAGGUAAUUGAACCGAGGGGGCAGUUUCCCCCAUGGUGUUCUCAUGAUAGUGAGUGAGUUCUCCCAAGACCUGAUGGUUUUAUAAGGGGCUCUUCCACCUUCACUCAGCACUUCUCCUUGUGAAGAAGGUGCCUUGCUUCCCCUUUGCCUUCCGCCAUGAUUGUAAGUGUCCUGAGGCCUCCCCAGCCAUGCUGAACUGUGAGUCAAUUAAAC
rnacentral:lncRNA from 10 species